UACAGUGCAUGCAUGGUAGCUGUAUAGCUGCAGUGAUAUCCAUCUGGAUGGACUCUUAAUUGGGCACACUGUUACCUUGUCUGAUCAUGCUAAGAGAAUGCAUAUUAUAUAUUAAAGGUGGACGUGGACCCUUUUUGUUCCAGUUUCUGGUCAAUAAUAUAAUUAUCGUAUAAUGAUUUUUUUAAUAUUGUAAAAUAAACUGUUGCCUGUUGCCUUGUUUUCUAUGGACAUGGUGAAGCAACAUAAUCAUUAUAAUUGUAUGCUUUAAAAGUUGCUGCAUCGAAAGAAUAGGUGCUCUGUAUACCACUGCUAGAUCUACUUGUAUAGAGAUCUAUAGACGUACUUGAAUCUGCUUUAUAUAGCUGUCACUACAUGCACUCUCAACACCAUUUUUUUUAUAUACCAUAUAGCGGGUAAUUUUUGUGGGGUAAAAAAUUCGUUAUUUUUGUGGUCAAGCUGACCUCCACGAAAUUUUAACGUAGGCGUGGCUUACCGAAUUCAGUGCAGACAACGAGACUAAACGAAAUUUAUACUCACAAAAAUCACCGUUUUCGAAUUUUUUACCCCACAAAAAUUACCCGCUAUACGGUAUGUAAAUUAAUAUUGCUGACACAAACAUGUAAUUCAUCCACCAUGCAGUUUCUCUGCAUGUUCUUAUUGUGGACAAUGAGAACAUAUCAAUGUAUUUAGUUUGACUAUAGUCAUAGCAUUUUUAGCGUUGAUAUGAGAUAUGCUACUGUUCAGUGUUAUACUGCAUGCAUGCAUGGAGGGCAAUUGGUAUAUAUGCUCAUUUAAUACGCCAUUAACAUGAGCCUGUACAUAUGCAUGCAAUGCUUCACUUGCACUAGGAUAAUGAUAUUAUUGCCUACAAGCCAUGCAGACAGCUACAUAUAGGUACGUAGAAAAGGAUAUAAUUUUUAUCUAUCAUAAUGGACACAACUUCACAAGUUAUCAUGCUGAUAGUACUAAUGUCUCUGACCUGUGAAUCUGCAUGCUUGAGGGCAGAUUCACAGGUCAGAGACACUAGAAAAUUAGUUCAUACUGCAUUCCAGUGACCUUUGCAUAAUUGAGAAUAAUAGUGCAUGCACUAAAUUAACAUAAUUUGACCCUCAGAGUCUGGUAGACUUAAUUUUCACAUCUUAUAAUUAAUUUUAGCUAGAUACAUGCACAAUAGAUCUGUACUGUAAACACUAGCCACUAGGCAGGCAUGGAAGAGUGUUUUCUUUUUCCGCACUAUCUAGAGGGAUUAUAUUUCACUUUCUGUAAUGCUACCUCGCCGAUUUGAAAAUACUAGCUAUAGAGACAACGAGGCUACCUCAGGUAGUGCUAUAAAUUGUCUUUUCAUUGAUGUCUUUAAACUGGAAUAAUGGGUACACCAAACUGGAAUAAUUAAUAGGCUGACUUUUUGAGAAUAGAAAAAAGCAUAAUUUGCCAAGGCCUAUUGUGGCCACCCAGUGUGUUAUCAGAACGCUCUAAGAGUUUUAUUGAGAGCAGUCCUAGCAUAACUGAGAGGAGGUGGGCAUAGUGGUCCUGCGAUUGAAGCUGGAGCUGGAAUACCCGGUUUGACCUCUCUUGAACCACAUCAAAUGAUAGCAGAUGAGAUGAAACUAACGACAAGCUUAGGAUUGGCUAUUGAGUAUUGUGGUACCAACCUCGUGAUAAAAUAAUUAUCUUUAACAUCAUAUACAUUCAAGCUCCAGAUCUUGUGGAGCUAAAACACCAUCCCAUAAUAGUGUCGAUAAAUGGAUUUGGACCAGGUAAUCUUCUACACACUCUUUGUUGUGGCCCCAUCAAUACAGGCUAUUUAUACAAAAACAAUACUAGAGAGAACCUUCUAGAACACUAGUACAGAAAUGACUAAAUAAGAACAUAAACUAGAAAGGAACUACUAGAACUAAUAAACACGAACAGGUACAGUACAGUAUUUACGGAAUCACAGUCAGACUCUUUAUCUUAACGUUAGUUCCAUAGAACCAGCCAAAUGUGGUAAGGAUACCACAAAUAUCAUGGAAGAUAUUAUGGCACCACUAUUCCCACAAAUGCACCUUACUGCCAACCCAAAGAUAUUCCUAUUUGUUGUGUAUUCGGCCUAUUUUGAAAGCCAUGUUCUUCAUUCCCUUGCCAAAGUUGAAGCAAUCUGGGAAAACUACAUUGUUUGUUAUAAUUAUUGCAUGUAGUAUCAAUGAUGUUUGGAGGAUAACAGACUUGUACAAAACGAACUGGGGUCACCUCUUAAGAUAUCUUGCACAGGCAUAAGAGGCUCUUAUGCCUGUGCAAGAGAUCUUCACUUCAAUUAGCGACAAGCUUCCACCUACAAGUACCAUGACUGUGACAGAUUGACCGUCUCAAGGAGCCAAUCUACUGGCAUCCUCGUGGAUCUGGGCUAAUGAAAACUCACACCAGUUUACAAGCACCAAUCAAGAAGCCUGAUGCUAAAUCAUCAUACAUCAAGAAGCUUAGACUCGAUACUGAUGAGCUAUUGAUAAAGCAAGAAGAAUUUACCUCUCAAUAAGCAGAGUCCAGUGGUGCUGGUGAUCAACUCUAAAUAGAUGAACACUUAUACUGUAUCAUAAUUAUUACGUUCCAAAAUUCUUUACAUUUAUAUUGCAAAACAUAAA